rnacentral:rRNA from 1 species
CUACCUUCGGGUCUGGGACAACUCCGGGAAACUGGAGCUAAUACCGGAUGAGACCACGAGGUCCUCGGACUUCGCGGAAAAAGAUGGCCUCUCCUUGGAAGCUAUCGCCUGUAGAUGAGCCCGCGCCCCAUUAGCUAGUUGGUGAGGUAACGGCUCACCAAGGCGACGAUGGGUAGCUGGUCUGAGAGGACGACCAGCCACACUGGAACUGAGACACGGUCCAGACUCCUACGGGAGGCAGCAGUCGGGGAAUUUUGGGCAAUGGGCGAAAGCCUGACCCAGCAACGCCGCGUGAGGGAUGAAGGCCCUCGGGUCGUAAACCUCUGUCGGGAGGGAAGAACGGUUGCAAGGUGAACAAUCUUGGAACCUGACGGUACCUCCAAAGGAAGCGCCGGCUAACUCCGUGCCAGCAGCCGCGGUAA